rnacentral:rRNA from 1 species
GGGUUGUGAGGUUAAGCGACUAAGCGUACACGGUGGAUGCCCUGGCAGUCAGAGGCGAUGAAGGGCGUGCUAAUCUGCGAUAAGCGCCGGUAAGGUGAUAUGAACCGUUAUAACCGGCGAUACCCGAAUGGGGAAACCCAGUGUGACUCGUCACACUAUCAUUAACUGAAUCCAUAGGUUAAUGAGGCGAACCGGGGGAACUGAAACAUCUAAGUACCCCGAGGAAAAGAAAUCAACCGAGAUUCCCCCAGUAGCGGCGAGCGAACGGGGAGGAGCCCAGAGCCUGAAUCAGCAUGUGUGUUAGUGGAAGCGUCUGGAAAGGCGCGCGAUACAGGGUGACAGCCCCGUACACAAAAGCGCAUGUGCUGUGAGCUCGAUGAGUAGGGCGGGACACGUGGUAUCCUGUCUGAAUAUGGGGGGACCAUCCUCCAAGGCUAAAUACUCCUGACUGACCGAUAGUGAACCAGUACCGUGAGGGAAAGGCGAAAAGAACCCCGGCGAGGGGAGUGAAAAAGAACCUGAAACCGUGUACGUACAAGCAGUGGGAGCCCCACCACUAAGCCAGUGGUGAACUCCACAUACGCAUCCUUUGCUGAGGAUACGGUUAACGGAGCGAAAGCGACGUUCAACCGCAAAAGAAGCAGAGGGGGCUUAGUGGUGGGGUGACUGCGUACCUUUUGUAUAAUGGGUCAGCGACUUAUAUUCUGUAGCAAGGUUAACCGAAUAGGGGAGCCGGAGGGAAACCGAGUCUUAAUUGGGCGUUAAGUUGCAGGGUAUAGACCCGAAACCCGGUGAUCUAGCCAUGGGCAGGUUGAAGGUUGGGUAACACUAACUGGAGGACCGAACCGACUAAUGUUGAAAAAUUAGCGGAUGACCUGUGGCUGGGGGUGAAAGGCCAAUCAAACCGGGAGAUAGCUGGUUCUCCCCGAAAGCUAUUUAGGUAGCGCCUCGUGAAUUCAUCUCCGGGGGUAGAGCACUGUUUCGGCUAGGGGGCCAUCCCGGCUUACCAACCCGAUGCAAACUGCGAAUACCGGAGAAUGUUAUCACGGGAGACACACGGCGGGUGCUAACGUCCGUCGUGAAGAGGGAAACAACCCAGACCGCCAGCUAAGGUCCCAAAGUCAUGGUUAAGUGGGAAACGAUGUGGGAAGGCCCAGACAGCCAGGAUGUUGGCUUAGAAGCAGCCAUCAUUUAAAGAAAGCGUAAUAGCUCACUGGUCGAGUCGGCCUGCGCGGAAGAUGUAACGGGGCUAAACCAUGCACCGAAGCUGCGGCAGCGACACUGUGUGUUGUUGGGUAGGGGAGCGUUCUGUAAGCCUGUGAAGGUGUGUCGUGAGGCAUGCUGGAGGUAUCAGAAGUGCGAAUGCUGACAUAAGUAACGAUAAAGCGGGUGAAAAGCCCGCUCGCCGGAAGACCAAGGGUUCCUGUCCAACGUUAAUCGGGGCAGGGUGAGUCGACCCCUAAGGCGAGGCCGAAAGGCGUAGUCGAUGGGAAACGGGUUAAUAUUCCCGUACUUGGUGUUACUGCGAAGGGGGGACGGAGAAGGCUAUGUUGGCCGGGCGACGGUUGUCCCGGUUUAAGCGUGUAGGUGUGUGUUCCAGGUAAAUCCGGUUCACUUUAACACUGAGGCGUGACGACGAGGCACUACGGUGCUGAAGCAACAAAUGCCCUGCUUCCAGGAAAAGCCUCUAAGCAUCAGGUAACAUCAAAUCGUACCCCAAACCGACACAGGUGGUCAGGUAGAGAAUACCAAGGCGCUUGAGAGAACUCGGGUGAAGGAACUAGGCAAAAUGGUGCCGUAACUUCGGGAGAAGGCACGCUGACACGUAGGUGAAGUGAUUUACUCAUGGAGCUGAAGUCAGUCGAAGAUACCAGCUGGCUGCAACUGUUUAUUAAAAACACAGCACUGUGCAAACACGAAAGUGGACGUAUACGGUGUGACGCCUGCCCGGUGCCGGAAGGUUAAUUGAUGGGGUCAGCGCAAGCGAAGCUCCUGAUCGAAGCCCCGGUAAACGGCGGCCGUAACUAUAACGGUCCUAAGGUAGCGAAAUUCCUUGUCGGGUAAGUUCCGACCUGCACGAAUGGCGUAAUGAUGGCCAGGCUGUCUCCACCCGAGACUCAGUGAAAUUGAACUCGCUGUGAAGAUGCAGUGUACCCGCGGCAAGACGGAAAGACCCCGUGAACCUUUACUAUAGCUUGACACUGAACAUUGAGCCUUGAUGUGUAGGAUAGGUGGGAGGCUUUGAAGUGUGGACGCCAGUCUGCAUGGAGCCGACCUUGAAAUACCACCCUUUAAUGUUUGAUGUUCUAACGUGGACCCGUUACCCGGGUUGCGGACAGUGUCUGGUGGGUAGUUUGACUGGGGCGGUCUCCUCCUAAAGAGUAACGGAGGAGCACGAAGGUUGGCUAAUCCUGGUCGGACAUCAGGAGGUUAGUGCAAUGGCAUAAGCCAGCUUGACUGCGAGCGUGACGGCGCGAGCAGGUGCGAAAGCAGGUCAUAGUGAUCCGGUGGUUCUGAAUGGAAGGGCCAUCGCUCAACGGAUAAAAGGUACUCCGGGGAUAACAGGCUGAUACCGCCCAAGAGUUCAUAUCGACGGCGGUGUUUGGCACCUCGAUGUCGGCUCAUCACAUCCUGGGGCUGAAGUAGGUCCCAAGGGUAUGGCUGUUCGCCAUUUAAAGUGGUACGCGAGCUGGGUUUAGAACGUCGUGAGACAGUUCGGUCCCUAUCUGCCGUGGGCGCUGGAGAACUGAGGGGGGCUGCUCCUAGUACGAGAGGACCGGAGUGGACGCAUCACUGGUGUUCGGGUUGUCAUGCCAAUGGCACUGCCCGGUAGCUAAAUGCGGAAGAGAUAAGUGCUGAAAGCAUCUAAGCACGAAACUUGCCCCGAGAUGAGUUCUCCCUGAGACUUAAAGUCUCCUGAAGGAACGUUGAAGACGACGACGUUGAUAGGCCGGGUGUGUAAGCGCAGCGAUGCGUUGAGCUAACCGGUACUAAUGAACCGUGAGGCUUAACCUUACAACGCCGAAG